GGAUCAAGCUUAAUUGGUUAGAGUGUGGUGCUGAUAACGCCAGGGUUGCAGGUUCUAUCCCCAUAUGGGCCA